rnacentral:lncRNA from 1 species
AUGCUGAGUGACCCCUGGGCAGGCUGCAGCCCUUUUGCUGGCUCCUACAGAUGUGUUGUUAAUGAAUCUCACAUGGGAAGAAGAGGGGUAGAUGUAGUAGCUUUCUCCUUGCGAGCUUCAGUGAGGCAUGGGGGGCAGGUGCUCACCUGCAUGUGUCAAAUAAAUGCAACAGUGUCAAGUGUUAUGGAUGUUGUGCAAACUGGCUGUAAUAGGAACAGGUUGAUUUUUUUUCAUAAAGUGCAUAUUAAGUCCCAUGUACUCCAGGAAAAAAAACCAACAGGAGUGUGUGCUGUUACCCUGGGGACUGCUCUGAACUCUUACAGUUCUACAGUAUGUGAAACACAUGUUAUUGUAAGCAUUGAUGAGACUGAAGAAAUAACAAGGCUCUACAGCACAGAAACCUGUGUUAAUAGUUUGCAGGUUAAAUAUAUAAAGGGAUGACUUGGCUAUGGGAACUUUCCCCUUCUUCAGACAGUAUCUGGUAAGGUUGUUA